rnacentral:tRNA from 1 species
GGCGUGGCGAAAUUGGUAGACGCACUGGAUUUAGGUUCCAGCGCCGCAAGGUGUAAGAGUUCGAGUCUCUUCGCC